AUGCAGGAGCCGCGAAACCCUUAUGGGGACUCUGACUGCAUAUUCUCCGAUUCUCGUGAUCUCAUUGCUGCUGGUGGUAGGUCCUGGUGCUAUAGCAGGGGCGUGGAGGGCAGAUCAAGAGGGAACAGCUCAUCAGUUCUGACUUCCGAGAAGCUCAAGUACCCUGAUAUGUCAGAAGAUGAGUUUAAUGCAAAAUGCCCAUAUUGCCGCAAGAACUUUAAUUGCAAGGGAUGCCUACGAAUGCGAGGAGUUGAGCCUCCAAAAAAGAAAAUUUCUGAAGAAAAUCAAAUCUGUUAUGCUUGUCAUGUUUUGCGCUUGUUGCUUCCCUGGCUGAGAAAACUGCGACAGGAGCAGAUGGAGGAAAAAGAAUUUGAGGCUAAAAUAAAAGGUGUUUCAGUGGACAAAGUGCAGUUGGAACAAGCUAAAUGUAAUCUAGAUGAGCGUGUUUACUGCAAUAAUUGUAGAACUUCUAUAGUUGAUUUUCAUAGAAGCUGCAAAUGCUGUUUUUAUGAUUUGUGCCUUGCAUGCUGCUGGGAGAUGCGCAAAGGAGAGGUUCCUGGAGGAGAAGAGGUACAGAGCAUCGAGCCUGAAAAGAGAAGCAGGGAUUAUAUUUUCGGAACUACUCCUAAGUCAAAUGAUGGAAAUGAAAUGGUCUCCUUGAGUAGGCAUUGCCCAAAUGCUGAGCCUUGCAAUGGCAUAGCUGCUAGAGGACCCAAAUAACCCUCUGCUAAUGUGGAAAGCAAAGAGUGAUGGUAGCAUAACUUGCCCACCAAAUGAGCUAGGAGGUUGUGGUGGUUCGCUUUUGGACCUCAAAUGCUUGCUUCCAGAGAAAAUGCUUUCUGAGCUAGAAGAAAAGGCUGACAGAAUUGUUAGGAGUGAAAUAUUUGCAAAAGCAGUAGCCAGAAGCAGUGGUCAGUGCCCUUGCUAUGAUCAUUUAGGAAACAUAAGAGCUCAGGAUGUGCGAGAGGCUGCAAAUAGGAAAGGCUUGACUGAUAACCACCUCUAUUGUCCAGGUGCCACUGGUAUCAAGGAGGAUGACUUGGAGCACUUUCAGGUGCAUUGGGCAAGGGGUGAACCUGUUAUUGUUUCUGACACCCUUCAGUUGACCUCUGGCCUUAGUUGGGAGCCAUUAGUUAUGUGGCGUGCACUGCGAGAAAAAAAGACCAAUGUCAAAGUAGAAGAUGAGCACUUCACUGUCAGGGCAAUAGAUUGCCUUGAUUGAAAUGAGGUGGAAAUUAAUAUACACAUGUUUUUUGUGGGAUAUACGCAAGGCAGAACUCAUCACAGGCCACAUUGGCCUGAGAUGCUUAAGCUAAAGGACUGGCCGCCAUCGAGUUCAUUUGAUCAGAGAUUGCCUCGCCAUGGUGCUGAGUUGAUCAGUGCAUUGCCAUUUCCUGAGUACACUGAUCCUCGAUAUGGUCCACUAAAUCUUGCAGUCAAGCUUCCUACUGGUGCCCUGAAGCCAGAUCUUGGACCCAAAACUUACAUCGCUUAUGGAUUUAACCAAGAGUUAGGUAGGGGUGAUUCUGUGACCAAGCUUCACUGUGACAUGUCUGACACGGUAAAUAUUUUAACACACACAGCAGAAGUACCUUAUGAGACUUAUCCACUUAAGGAGAUAGAGGAGACCAGAAAGAAAAUGAAAGAACAAGAUCUUCAGGAAUUUUACGGUGUUUCAGAAUCCAGCAUUGAACACAACCUAUCACAAACUUCUACUAAUUCCAGGAAUGUUACUAUGGAUGAAACAUCAAAGACCUCAUGUAAUGAUAGUAUCUGUAAAGAUAUUUCUGAUGGUCUGGACACCAACGCUGUAACACCUAUUGAUAGUGAAGGUGAUGUUAGGGAUAAACAUCCAUCUCAUGAAUCUAAGGUACAAAGCAAGGCAGCCCAGUGUUCCAAUUACAUUGGCAAUGGUAGUUCGGCUAUGAUGCAUAAUGGAGCUCAUUGUAUUUCGGAUAAUCCGGAGAGUUGAGAGCAUGAGAGAACUGGUGGUGCCUUGUGGGAUAUUUUCCGAAGAGAGGAUGCUGACAAGCUACAAGAUUAUCUUAAGAAACACACCUUGGAAUUCCGGAACCUCCAUUGCAAUCCUGUGAAGCAGGUUAUUCACCCAAUUCAUGAUCAAACUUUUUACUUAACUGAGGAACAUUAGAGAAAGCUAAAGGAAGAAUAUGGUGUGGAACCCUGGACAUUUGAGCAGAAGCUUGGUGAAGCAGUUUUCAUUCCUGCUGGAUGUCCUCACCAAGUCCGAAACUUGAAGUCUUGCAUCAAGGUUGCAAUGGACUUCAUCUCCCCUGAAAAUGUUGACGAGUGUAUUAAACUAACUGGAGAGUUCAGACGACUUCCAUCUCAUCACAAGGCUAAAGAAGACAAAUUGGAGAUUAAGAAGAUUGCUCUUUAUGCUCUGAACCAAGUUAUAAAUUUCUUGGAUCCUCCCUCUGACGGAUCGAUGAAUGAGGCUGGUCCGUCCGCCAUUGAAUCUGCUGAUGAGAAGAAGCCUAAAAGUGGGGGUGGUCGCCAAAGGGGUAAGCUGAAGAGUGAAGACAAGUCCAACGACGCUGCUGGUCAGAAGAAGCCUAAAAGUAAGCACGGUUGCUCAAGAAGUGAUACAAAGAGUGAAGACAAGUCCAACAAUGACUCUGCUGGUGAGAAGAAGCCUAAAAGGAAGCGUAGUCGCCCAAGAGGUGAGACAAAGAGUGAAGACAAGUCCAACUACGAUGCCGCUGAUGAGAAGCCUAAAAGGCGGAGGGGUCGCCUGAAAGUCUCUGGCAACGGCAGGUGACUGACCUGUUUGCUUCUGACAGGGAAGGUGGAAAGCAUAGCAGUUGUGGUUGCUAAGGCUGUACUGACCGACCUGUUGGUAGUCAUUUUGGAAGAAGGUUGUAGUGUAGGCCCCUGAGGCAUAGGCCACCACUAGGCGGUGAUUGCAGGCUGACAUCUUGGAAGAACCAUGUUUGAUGCCCGUAGUACAAGACUCUUCAUGUAGUGGGCUAUGGUGGUAGGCUGUUCAGCACACGUAUGCUGCUCAGUUUGAAUAUGUGUUUGUUAGUUAGAUUAUUUCUAUUUAUCAAAUACAAUGCAUACAGAUGAUUUUCGGUCUCUGA